rnacentral:rRNA from 1 species
UAGGGAAUCUUCGGCAAUGGACGAAAGUCUGACCGAGCAACGCCGCGUGAGUGAAGAAGGUUUUCGGAUCGUAAAACUCUGUUGUUAGAGAAGAACAAGGACGUUAGUAACUGAACGUCCCCUGACGGUAUCUAACCAGAAAGCCACGGCUAACUACGUGCCAGCAGCCGCGGUAAUACGUAGGUGGCAAGCGUUGUUCGGAUUUAUUGGGCGUAAAGCGAGCGCAGGCGGUUUCUUAAGUCUGAUGUGAAAGCCCCCGGCUCAACCGGGGAGGGUCAUUGGAAACUGGGAGACUUGAGUGCAGAAGAGGAGAGUGGAAUUCCAUGUGUAGCGGUGAAAUGCGUAGAUAUAUGGGGGAAAACCAGUGGCGAAGGCGGCUCUCUGGUCUGUAACUGACGCUGAGGCUCGAAAGCGUGGGGAGCAAACAGG